GGCAUCUUCUCCAUCUAGUUAUACUUAUUGUCAGUCAACAGGCAGGCGUCCGUGACAUUCAAGGAUGUGGCCAUGGACCUUACCCCCGAGGAGUGGGGGAAGCUGGAUCCUGCACAGAGGGACGUGAUGCUGGAGAACUAUAGGAACCUGGUCUCGCUCUGGCUUCCAGUUUCCAAGCCUGAGAACUACAAUUUGGAGAAUGGAAAGGAAACAUUGAUGCUUGAGAGAAAAGUCCCCGGAAGCAGCUAUUCAGGUGAGUCAAAUAGAUGGGAGUCCUCGGAAAUAAUAGCCCCGCAGGACAGUGAAGAAUUGGCACUUUUCGGUGCUUAAGAAAGACUAUAUUAGCAGUGCCUACAUGCUUUAUCCUAUAAUAUAGGACGUAUAUAAUAAAAGCGUAAUAUGCAAAUCGACCAAACAAGGGAACCGCCAGUCGGCAGGGGGGCCGGGCGGGCGAGCAGGUGG